GAAGAUCUUCACAGAGCAACAACAACAACAACAUCAGCAACGACAGGAGCACCCCAAGCAAUGGCGAUGAUUCAAGGCGACUGGACAGAAUGAAUGCUUUCAGGGAAUUCAGCGGCGAUAAUGAAUAUGGAAAAUCUGGCAUUUUUUAUAAGGUCGGUCGGUCAAGAUCAGGCGCUCGGUUUUAUGGUUGAGGUUUUGCCGGAGAAGAAAACAGUCCAGGAGAGAUGAGAACAGGACGCUGUGGCCGUGGAAGUUUUGUCCACUGGCACUUAUGAACUAGAACACAGGGAGGUGGAGUAUCCGUUUUGCGAGAACACGAACUUUUGUUCUCGGUAAGUCUCUUGAAGCUUGUGAAAGCCGAGCGACUGACUUGGUUCGUGGUUUUUGCAGUUGCUAUCAAUACGACUAUAGUUUGAGAGAUUUCAUUUUCCUGGACAAGCUCCAAAUUCGUUUGGAAGCUAUCGUCGCGUCUUUCCGAUCCAUGUCGAGCGAAAACUUCUGUUUGAGCGCGCGCAAUGAAGCCGGUCGGUCAGCUCCAGAUUUUUAUGAACCCUGGCGCUUGGUAAGUUUAGUUCUUUCUAUAAGCCAUCGAAUCAAAUUCGCGAUCUAUUUUUCUUUCCA
rnacentral:lncRNA from 1 species